UACGUAGGGUGCAAGCGUUAAUCGGAAUUACUGGGCGUAAAGCGUGCGCAGGCGGUUUUGUAAGCCAGAUGUGAAAUCCCCGGGCUCAACCUGGGAAUGGCAUUUGGGACUGCAAGGCUUGAGUGCGGCAGAGGAGACUGGAAUUCCUGGUGUAGCAGUGAAAUGCGUAGAUAUCGAGAGGAACACCUGCGGCGAAGGCGGGUUGCUGGGCCGACACUGACGCUGAUGCGCGAAAGCCAGGGGAGCGAACGGG
rnacentral:rRNA from 1 species